GGACGUUUUAAGAGUGACUGGUUUCUACAACAAUGCGCCACAGUUUCAUUUCGUGGGAAGACAGAAAGUUGUUCUGAGCAUCGACAUGGACAAGACCUACGACGAAGACCUCCUCAAGGCAGUGACUAACGCGAGUCUCCUGCUUGAGCCACAUGACCUAAUGCUCAUGGAUUUCACUAGCCGUGUGGAUUCCUCCUCGUAUCCAGGUCACUACGUGCUCUACUGGGAACUCGGGAGAAAAGUCAAGGACGCCAAGCUUGAGCUUGACCAGAAUGUUUUGGAGGAAUGCUGCUUCACCAUUGAGGAGUCUCUGGACGCGGUUUACAGAAAAGGACGAAAGAAUGAUAAGAACAUUGGACCACUUGAGAUUAAGGUUGUUAAGCCUGGCGCUUUCGACAAGCUCAUGAACUUCUUUCUGUCUAGAGGCUCUUCUGUGAGUCAGUAUAAGACACCGAGGUCGGUGACGAAUGAAGAAGCCUUGAAGAUAUUGGAGGCCAACGUUGUGUCCGAGUUUCUUAGCCAGAAAACUCCGUCGUGGGAGCUACAUGAGCUGCAUUCCAGCCGAUAAAACCGCCCUCACAAUUUUUUUUUCUAGUUGAGAGUAGGAUACUUAAGAAGGGUGAAACAAUGUAGAACCUAAAAUAAAACUUAGCAAUGAUGAGAAAAUUUUACUCUCACUUGUCCUACCAUUCAAAGCUAUAUACCAUUGAUGGGAUAUCAAAUAAGAGUAUACCAUUGUAACCAUCCAAAAAUCUUUAACUCCUCUACUACGCAAGAUUUUUGACCGACCUUAUCACAUGGAUUUUGUCUUUGUUGUUUCAAAAGCUUGUCAAAAAUAGUUACACAAAAUAUGGGAAAAUCACAAAAUCAUGUUUUUUUUAUAAUAUUUUAAAUAGAAUUUUUCUAAUUAAGUUUAAAUAUUUAAAAGACUAGGUUAAAAAUACAAAACUACAUUUUUGUUAUGUUUUUGGUAUCUUAUUAAUAAAUAAAUAAACCCGAAAAGGACUAAAAAUACAAAAGCUAAAAAGGCUCAAGGCCCAAUAUAAAAGAAACGAAAAGCCCAAUAACGAUUUUUUUUUGUUAAACAAGUUACUUUUUUGAGAAACGAAAAAAAAAUCUAAAUAUUUGGACAUAUGCAGUAAAAGUCUAAAAUGUAUCAGACUUUCAACAACGUGUCAAUACUCAAUACCCAAUAAAAGCUUUUAUCUCCUCGUAGUACUCAAGUUGGAUUUGUUUUCUCAUCCUUUGUUAAAUCCUCUUUAUGAGAAAAGAACAAAAUCAACUCAUACAUACACAAUUGCCGGUACCCUAACAUUUCGCCACACCACACCUUUUGUCUCCUUUAUCCAAUCUCUCCUCCAUAGUUCUGAAGCUUCGAGAGAGAGGGGCCAGAAGGUCACCCAGAACAGAGGUUUUGCAGACAAUAGAAAGCAGUAAGCAAGCAUGUUACCAAAGUUCGAUCCAACAAACCAAAAAGCUUGUCUGUCUCUUCUUGAGGAUUUGACCACCAACGUAAAGCAGAUUCAAGAUUCCGUAUUGGAAGCAAUACUUUCACGUAAUGCUCAAACUGAGUAUCUUAGAGGUUUCCUCAACGGUCAAGUCGAUAAGCAGAACUUCAAGAAAAACGUACCCGUUGUGACCUACGAAGAUAUUAGGUCUUAUAUCGACCGUAUCGCUAAUGGAGAGCCGUCUGAUCUCAUCUGUGAUCGACCCAUCAGUGUACUCUUGACCAGGUACCUUCAAAACAGUUUCAAAGGUUGCAUGUUAAAGUUAAAUCCUUAAAUGUAAGAUCUUGACUUGAAGUUCAGAAGAAACUUGAAAUCUAGGCUCUUACAUAACCUAAAUUAUAUUCGACCCAUUUGGUUCAAAACUUGUUGAUACAUGAGUUUGUUUAGGCUUGAUAAUGUAGAUUAAAUUAAAGUAUAGUUUAUUAUAAAAUCUGAAAAGCCUUAAGGAAACCAUUGUAUUUGCAGCUCGGGUACUUCAGGAGGAGUUCCAAAGUUGAUUCCUUUGACAACAGAGGAUUUGGAACAGAGGAUUUCGUUUUCUUCUCUCUAUGCACCUCUACUCUACAAGUAAAGAGUUAAAAACUCCGAGUUUUGUCUCUUUGUUGAUACCAUAAACAGUAAGUAGUAAAACCCCGAGUCCGAUGUUGUUACUGUUUGCAGGCACAUCGAUGGGCUUAGCGAAGGAAAAUCUCUCAUAUUUUAUUUUGUGACCCGAGAGAGCAAGACUGCCAAUGGGUUGAUGGUCAGGACUAUGGUUACUAGUUUUUUGAAAAGCAUUAAACAGACCAACUCAUUUCUUUGGUUAGUCAAUAAAACCCUUACUUGCACGUUACAUUACAUAAUUCAGUCUUUCCACAAGUGAUUAACCGAAGUGCCUAACAAACAAGCCUCUUGAUACUACUCGUGUUUCUUUACUGUGUUUGUUCUAUUACUUGCAGGGAUAGCUUACAGGUAAGCCCGCAUGCGAUUACUACUUGUGCAGACACUACUCAGAGCAUGUACUGCCAAUUGCUUUGUGGGCUUCUUGAAAGAGAUAAUGUUGCUCGCCUCGGUGCACCCUUUGCUUCAUCAUUCCUCAAAGUAAUCAAGUUCUUGGAAGAUCAUUGGCCUGAGUUAUGCUCAAACAUAAGGACUGGCCGUCUCAGCGACUGGAUCACAGACGCGACCUGUACUUCAGGGAUCGGUAAGUUCCUCACUGCUCCAAAUCCGGAACUAGCAAGCCUGAUCGAGCAAGAAUGCAGUAAAACAUCAUGGGAGGCAAUAUUGAAGAGACUUUGGCCAAAAGCAAAAUGCAUCGAAUCCAUCAUUACAGGCACCAUGGCACAGUACAUUCCAUUGCUGGAAUUCUAUAGUGGUGGUCUUCCUUUGACUUCAUCGUUUUACGGCAGCUCUGAAUGUUUCAUGGGUGUCAACUUUAAUCCUCUGUGUAAGCCUAGUGAUGUGUCGUACACCAUCAUUCCAUGUAUGGGGUACUUCGAGUUCUUAGAGGUCGAGAAAGACCAUCAAGAAGCUGGUCAUGAUCCCACAGAGAAACCUGUGGUUGUCGAUCUUGUCGAUGUUAAAAUCGGCCAUGAUUAUGAACCUGUUGUCACAACGUUUUCAGGUAACUCUUUUCUCUUGUUAACCAUAACCGUUUCAAAAUAAAUGUCGUUUUGAAAUUUUAUUGCAGUCUUCGGUUUUUUAAAUGUGUAUCAAAAUUCUAUAUGUUUCUGCCUACCAAAAAAAUAAAUAAAAAAUCUAUAUGUUUCUUCAAGAUCUAUAUAUGAUUUUACAGGUCUAUAUAGGUACCGUGUGGGGGACGUUUUAAGAGCGACUGGUUUCUACAACAAUGCGCCACAUUUUUGUUUCGUGGGAAGACAGAAAGUUGUUCUGAGCAUCGACAUGGACAAGACCUACGAAGACGACCUCCUCAAGGCAGUGACAAACGCAAAGCUCCUGCUUGAGCCACAUGACCUGAUGCUCAUGGAUUUCACUAGCCGUGUAGAUUCGUCCUCGUUUCCAGG
rnacentral:lncRNA from 1 species